GAUGAACGCUGGCGGCGUGCCUAAUACAUGCAAGUCGAACGCUGAAAGAGGAGCUUUCUCUUCUGGAUGAGUUGCGCACGGGUGAGUAACGCGUAGGUAACCUGCCUGUUAGCGGCGGAUAACUAUUCGAAACGAUAGCUAAUACCGCAUGACAACAGUUAUUGCAUGAUAACUGUUUGAAAGGGGCAACUGCUCCACUACCAGUUGGUCCUGCGUUGUAUUAUCUAGUUGGUGAGGUAACGGCUCAACAAGGCGACGAUACAUAGCCGCCCUGAGAGGGGGAUCGGCCAAACUGGGACUGGGACACGGCCCAGACUCCUUCGGGAGGCAGCAGGAGGGAAUCUUCGGGAAUGGACGGAAGUCUGACCGGGCAACGCCGCGGGAGGGAAGAAGGUUCUCGGGUCGGAAAGCCUCGUUGUAAGGGAAGAACGAGUGUGAGAGGGGAAAGUGCACACUGUGACGGUAUCUUACCAGAAAGCGACGGCUAACUACGUG
rnacentral:rRNA from 1 species